rnacentral:rRNA from 1 species
UACGUAGGAGGCGAGCGUUGUCCGGAAUUACUGGGCGUAAAGCGUGCGCAGGCGGUUGUGCAAGACAGAUGUGAAAUCCCCGGGCUUAACCUGGGAACUGCAUUUGUGACUGCACGGCUAGAGUGUGUCAGAGGGGGGUAGAAUUCCACGUGUAGCAGUGAAAUGCGUAGAGAUGUGGAGGAAUACCGAUGGCGAAGGCAGCCCCCUGGGAUAACACUGACGCUCAUGCACGAAGGCGUGGGGAGCAAACAGG